UAGUCCACGCCGUAAACGAUCAUCACUCGCUGUUGGCGAUAUACUGUCAGCGACCAAGCGAAAGUAUUAAGUGAUGCACCUGGGGAGUACGCCGGCAACGGUGAAACUCAAAGGAAUUGACGGGGGCCCGCACAAGCGGUGGAGCAUGUGGUUUAAUUCGAUGAUACACGAGGAACCUUACCAGGGCUUAAAUGUAGUAUGACCGGUCUGGAAACAGGCCUUCCCUUCGGGGCAGAUUACAAGGUGCUGCAUGGUUGUCGUCAGCUCGUGCCGUGAGGUGUUAGGUUAAGUCCUGCAACGAGCGCAACCCCUAUUCUUAGUUGCCAGCGGUUCGCCGGGGACUCUAAGAAGACUGCCAGCGCAAGCUGAGAGGAAGGUGGGGAUGACGUCAAAUCAUCACGGGCCCUUACGUCCUGGGGCUACACACGUGCUACAGUGGGGGAGUACAAAGGGGUUGCGAAGCCGCGAGGGUGGGAGCUAAUCUCAUAAAACUUCUCGUAGUCCGGGAUUGGGAGUCU
rnacentral:rRNA from 1 species